UGCGCCGUGCCCCUCUAGGAGCUCCCGUCUCUAUGGCUCGUGGCCGCCCGCGGGGCCGCUGCGAGGGCCUCGCCCGCGUUCGUCUUCCUCCGUCCACCUGCCGCCCUCCCGACGUCGGCCCCGCCCUUUCCCCCGCGUGUGUGGUUCUCCCAGCGUGCGUGCUUCCGCGUCGGCUCCCUGCUCACUUCCAUCACAUCCACAAAGCUCCCUCUUCAGGUGGCACUUCAGCUAAUUAGAUGCUGUCCUGAUGAAGCUGUCACUCAGAGCUAAGUCAUACAAUUCUUCCUCUCCUACUUGUUAUGGAUUGAACUGUGUUCCCCCCUUCCAAAGCAUAUGUUGAAGCCCUUUACCGCUAACGUGACUAUAUUUUGGGAUAGGAUCUUUAAGGAAUUAAUCAAGAUUAAAUGAGGUCAUAAGGGCGGGCGGUGCCCUUACUUAAUAAGACUGGUGUCCUUAUAAGAAGGGAAAGACAUACCAGAGCUGUCUCACUGUCUCUCUCUCCCCUUGAAAGGCCAUGUGAGGAUACAGCAAGAAGGUGGAGGUCUACAAGACAGAGGAAAGGCCUCACCAGGAAACCAGCUCUGAUGGCACCUUCAUCUUGGACUUCUGGCAUCCAGAACUAUAGAAGAUAAACUUCUGUUGUUUAAGCGA